rnacentral:rRNA from 1 species
CCUACGGGAGGCAGCAGUGGGGAAUAUUGCACAAUGGAGGAAACUCUGAUGCAGCGACGCCGCGUGAAUGAUGAAGGCCUUCGGGUCGUAAAAUUCUGUCCUAGGGGACGAUAAUGACGGUACCCUAGGAGGAAGCCCCGGCUAACUACGUGCCAGCAGCCGCGGUAAUACGUAGGGGGCAAGCGUUGUCCGGAUUUAUUGGGCGUAAAGGGUACGCAGGCGGUCUUUUAAGUCAGAUGUGAAAUCUUACGGCUCAACCGUAAUCAGCAUUUGAAACUGGAAGACUUGAAUCAAGGAGAGGAAAGUGGAAUUCCUAGUGUAGCGGUGAAAUGCGUAGAUAUUAGGAGGAAUACCAGUGGCGAAGGCGACUUUCUGGACUUGUAUUGACGCUGAGGUACGAAAGCGUGGGGAGCGAACAGGAUUAGAUACCCUGGUAGUCCACGCUGUAAACGAUGAGUGCUAGGUGUCGGGUGUCAAAGCUCGGUGCCGCAGCUAACGCAUUAAGCACUCCGCCUGGGGAGUACGUACGCAAGUAUGAAACUCGAAGGAAUUGACGG